rnacentral:rRNA from 1 species
UUAGGGUUCGAUUCCGGAGAGGGAGCCUGAGAAACGGCUACCACAUCCAAGGAAGGCAGCAGGCGCGCAAAUUACCCAAUCCCGACACGGGGAGGUAGUGACAAUAAAUAACAAUACAGGGCUCUUUCGGGUCUUGUAAUUGGAAUGAGUACAAUUUAAAUCCCUUAACGAGGAACAAUUGGAGGGCAAGUCUGGUGCCAGCAGCCGCGGUAAUUCCAGCUCCAAUAGCGUAUAUUAAAGUUGUUGCAGUUAAAAAGCUCGUAGUUGAAUUUCGGGGUUCCACCGUUGGUCGGGCUAUUGUCUGUACUGGCGUGUGGAAUUUCUACCUUCUGGGGAACUAUCAUGUUAUUAAUUUAGCGUGGUAGGAAACCAGGACCUUUACCUUGAAAAAAUUAGAGUGUUCAAAGCAGGCUUAUGUCUGAAUACAUUAGCAUGGAAUAAUAAAAUAGGACGGUGGUCCUGUUUUGUUGGUUUCUGAAUCACCGUAAUGAUUAAUAGGGAUAGUUGGGGGCAUUAGUAUUCAAUUGUCAGAGGUGAAAUUCUUGGAUUUAUUGAAGACUAACUACUGCGAAAGCAUUUGCCAAGGAUGUUUUCAUUAAUCAAGAACGAAAGUUAGGGGAUCGAAGACGAUCAGAUACCGUCGUAGUCUUAACCAUAAACUAUGCCGACUAGGGAUCGGACGAUGUUAACUUUUCUUGACUCGUUCGGCGCCUUACG